rnacentral:rRNA from 1 species
CCUACGGGAGGCAGCAGUGGGGAAUAUUGCACAAUGGGGGAAACCCUGAUGCAGCGACGCCGCGUGAAGGAAGACGGUUUUCGGAUUGUAAAGUUCUGUUAUCAGGGAAGAAUAUUGCCGGUAGCUACGGAGCAAGCCACGGCUAAUUACGUGCCAGCAGCGGCGGCAAAACGUAGGGGGAAAGCGUUGUCCGGAAUUAUUGGGUGUAAAGGGAGCGAAGGCGGUUAGCGAAGUCAGCUGGGAAAGCACCGGGCCUAACUUGGGGACUGCUGUGGAAACUGGUAACCUUGAGUGAAGUAGGGGUAGGCGGAAUUCCUGGUGUAGCGGUGAAAUGCGUAGAUAUUAGGAGGAACACCGGAGGCGAAGGCGGCCUACUGGGCUGAAACUGACGUUGAGGCUCGAAAGCGUGGGGAGCAAACAGGAUUAGAUACCCGAGUAGUC